GGAAAUGUGCCUGAACUUAAGGGCCACUAUGAUAAAGUGGACAUAGAGGUAUACAAACCCUCUCAUUUCCU
rnacentral:tRNA from 1 species